AGUUAUUGGUUCUUUUGGAGGUGUUGCCCACCUAUUUUAUCGAUAAUUAUUUACAAAAUAUUUACAGAAGGAACCACCUUAGGAUGUGGGACCUGAGAAAAAGGAGGUUGAUAUAGGAACAACACUGCCCAUGCAACGUGAUUCUCGAAAUGAAAAGGAAUAGGCAUUUGGUUUUUCUUUCCUUCUCAAUGCUACUCAAACUUGACCUUCUUUAUAACUCCUUGAGUUACUACUUACCAUGAUUCCUCAAGUCCUUCAAGAUGUGAGAGAUCUGUUGACUUGGCCUUCCAAUGGAGAAUGUAGUCCAGCCUUACAGCAGAAAUAUAAUCUCACCUGUCACUAGAAAAGAGGCUCUAGCUUGAAACUGAAAGACCCUUGGAUUCCUCUCCUUCCAUAUACACCAGCAGGCUAUCGAAAAAAGAAUCCUGACAAUUUUUGAUUCCUCUCAUCCAGCAGUCUUCAACUUUACUAUUUGGCAAAGCGAUGUCUAUUUUCUCCUCUAUUAUUUUUCAUAUUUGCUGACUGCAAGGGCAAGCUACAAAUAAAUAGUUCACUAUCUUCUAUAUAUCUAUAUAUAAUAUAUCUAUAUAUCUAUAUAUAAUCUAUAUAUCUAUAUAUAUCCUCUCCAUAUCAGCAGCUUUUGGCCCAAAAUUUUUAACAAAAACAUAUUCUUUUAAAAAUUUUAACAUCAUAUCUUUGUUUCUUAAAAAAACUUCAUUUCCAUAUCAAAAAAUACCUUUAUUAAUAUAUUUUAACAUAAAUGGAUAAUUAAAAAAAAAAGGAGAAAAAAGUACUCUAAUUGGCCACCCUAUUC
rnacentral:lncRNA from 1 species